UCUCUGGUGGUCCAGUGGUUAAGACUCCAGCUUCUAAUGCAGGGGAUGCAGGUUCAGUCCCUGGCAAGGGAA
rnacentral:tRNA from 1 species